rnacentral:rRNA from 1 species
GAUGAACGCUGGCGGCGUGCCUAAUACAUGCAAGUCGAGCGAACGGACGAGAAGCUUGCUUCUCUGAUGUUAGCGGCGGACGGGUGAGUAACACGUGGAUAACCUACCUAUAAGACUGGGAUAACUUCGGGAAACCGGAGCUCAUACCGGAUAAUAUUUUGAACCGCAUGGUUCAAAAGUGAAAGCCGUUCUUGCUGUCACUUAUAGAUGGAUCCGCGCUGCAUUAGCUAGUUGGUAAGGUAACGGCUUACCAAGGCAACGAUGCAUAGCCGACCUGAGAGGGUGAUCGGCCACACUGGAACUGAGACACGGUCCAGACUCCUACGGGAGGCAGCAGUAGGGAAUCUUCCGCAAUGGGCGAAAGCCUGACGGAGCAACGCCGCGUGAGUGAUGAAGGUCUUCGGAUCGUAAAACUCUGUUAGUAGGGAAGAACAUAUGUGUAAGUAACUGUGCCCAUCUUGACGGUACCUAAUCAGAAAGCCACGGCUAACUACGUG